AGUCGAGGGGAAACGACAUCGAAAGCUUGCUUUUGAUGGGUGUCGACCGGCGCACGGGUGAGUAACGCGUAUCCAACCUGCCCACCACAUGGGGAUAACCUUGCGAAAGUAAGACUAAUACCCAAUGAUAUCUCUAGAAGACAUCUGAAAGAGAUUAAAGAUUUAUCGGUGAUGGAUGGGGAUGCGUCUGAUUAGCUUGUUGGCGGGGUAACGGCCCACCAAGGCGACGAUCAGUAGGGGUUCUGAGAGGAAGGUCCCCCACAUUGGAACUGAGACACGGUCCAAACUCCUACGGGAGGCAGCAGUGAGGAGUAUUGGUCAAUGGACGAGAGUCUGAACCAGCCAAGUAGCGUGCAGGAUGACGGCCCUAUGGGUUGUAAACUGCUUUUAUAAGGGAAUAAAGUGAGUCUCGUGAGACUUUUUGCAUGUACCUUAUGAAUAAGGACCGGCUAAUUCCGUGCCAGCAGCCGCGGUAAUACGGAAGGUCCGGGCGUUAUCCGGAUUUAUUGGGUUUAAAGGGAGCGUAGGCCGGAGAUUAA
rnacentral:rRNA from 1 species